rnacentral:lncRNA from 1 species
AAUGCUAAAAUAAAUACCAAAAUAUGUUAUUAAGUACCUACAAUUAACGAAAAAUAAGAAUUAGAGUGGUGAAAACAAUGAAAGUAACCUGAAAUAAGAAUUGCCUGAUUAACUAUGUAUGCAUAUACAAAAUAACACUAAUCUAAUAUGACAAAGUAAUAAAACUAAUAUACACCCCUGCUUAGUAAUUCAUCUGUGUCUUCAAUCACACAUUCACUAUCAUACCUGUGUGUGAUCACAAUAAGUCAAUAUGUGUACACCCAAAAGAUAUACCUAGUAGCAAGAACUAGAACUACAAAGAUCUACAACUAUACAAACUCAGUCUCAAACACCAAUCACAAUGACAACACUAACCAAACCAAAC